GUCAAAGCGUUCAUUAAAGUCGAGUUGGCUUAGGGAUACGUUCGUUGGGUAGGGGAGCGUUCUGUAAGCCUGUGAAGGUGUGUCGUGAGGCAUGCUGGAGGUAUCAGAAGUGCGAAUGCUGACAUAAGUAACGAUAAAGCGGGUGAAAAGCCCGCUCGCCGGAAGACCAAGGGUUCCUGUCCAACGUUAAUCGGGGCAGGGUGAGUCGACCCCUAAGGCGAGGCCGAAAGGCGUAGUCGAUGGGAAACGGGUUAAUAUUCCCGUACUUGGUGUUACUGCGAAGGGGGGACGGAGAAGGCUAUGUUGGCCGGGCGACGGUUGUCCCGGUUUAAGCGUGUAGGUGUGUGUUCCAGGUAAAUCCGGUUCACUUUAACACUGAGGCGUGACGAC
rnacentral:rRNA from 1 species